UUAACUUAUAUAGUUAGGACAAACUAGCCAAUGAUUACGAACACACUAUUACCACGAUUAUUAGAGUGACUUUUUGUAUAAUGGAUCAGGCUGACAGGGUUUUUUUUUCGCAAGACCUUGAUCCAUAUAUAUCUAGUGAAAACGACUUUCGGUUAUUUAGAAUUUUAGAUAAGUAACACUCGAACAUGUAGUGAAUGUGACGUCGUAUAAAGGGCAUUUUUACAAUUCUAAUAAUUAUGCAUAUACUUACAUACAGAGCCGAUCCUACACGUUUGGAAACUACAAGCAAAAAAUAAAUAAAAGGCCAAAAAAUGCAUUCAUCAAGGAGGCUUUGAUACCCAGCCUCCAUGCAGUACUUAUCUGACAGAAAUGCCGCUGGACCAGAGCCAUAUAUAUGAAAAAUGUGGCUGAUAAAAUAGUUAAUAAUAUGGCGGUGGGAAGCACAUGCUUCUUCUUUCGAUCCAGGACAUGCACUUAAGAUGCUAUGUAUGCAGCUUUAUAUAAACAUCUAGACUUGAAUUUUUUUUUUUGCUUAAUCUUUAGAAUUGAAGUUUUUAUUUUUGCUUUAUCUUUAGAAUUGAAGUUUUUUUUGUUUCUUCUUUAAGUUGGAAUAUAUAUUUUAACAUGAAGUAAAACCAAACUAUAACUUUUUAAGGAAAGCUGGUAAAAAAUAACAAAUGAACUAAUGUAUAGUUCCAAUAGGAAUUUUUUUCAUUUUACAUUUUGACUAAGGAUCUGGUUGGGUUAUAUUUAAAUGUAGCGGUUGUGAAUGCAUCCAAAUUUAUGGAAACAAAUUAUUGUGAUUUCAAUAAUUAUUAAGUGAUUCGUAGGACAUGCGCAAUGAUGAGAAAUUAGUGCGUGUGAGAUUUUAAUGACUAAUGUGAUACAAGUAAUUUAAUGAUCUUAAUGUCAUCAUAAAUGUUAUAGUAAAACUAUACUUCUUUCCACCAAAUUAUACAUAAAUGUCUUAGUGCUCCAUAUAAACAUGGAGAGUUAUAUAUUACGUGUAUCUAUCUUAUUAAAACAUAAAUAUUGUCUUGGACUUAACUUUUAUUUUAUAAGUUUUUUAAAUUAAAUUUAUCUUUCUACUUUAUAUUUAAACCUACAAUAAUAUUAUUUUAUUUAUACUACUAUCUAUGUUUCCAAACAAUAUACUUUUAUACUACUAUCCAUGUUUCCAAUCAACACUAUAAUUAAUCAUGCGUCCAAACAAUAUAAAAUAUUAGAUUUCAUCUUUUUAAUAAUUUUUUGCAAUUUUCUUUCAAAUUAUUUAGAUAAAUUAAAUAAUUUGAAAAUUCAAAUAAUUUAUAAAACAAC